rnacentral:rRNA from 1 species
AUGGCAAUAGUACAACGAUGGGGUAAACCGGAUUAUUUUAUCACCAUGACAUGCAAUCUCUACUGGGAGGAGAUAACUAAUGAAUUAUUGCCUGGACAACUGCCGCAAGACCGUUCAGACCUUGUGGCAAGAGUAUACAAAACUAAACAAUGAAGUAUGAUGGACCUACUAAUUAAGGGUAAGCAUUUCGGAGAAGUUGCGGCUUAUGUACAUGUCACUGAGUUUCAGAAACAGGUCUCCCUCAUGAGCAUAUUGUAG